CGCACCUUGCGCUCCUUGGUAUUCCGAGGAGCAUGCCUGUUUGAGUGUCUUGAAGUCAUCAACCUCCCCGCGUUUUUCGUCGGGCCUUGGGUUGGACAUGGGGGUCUCUGCGGCCGCUCGGCCGCUCCCCUCAAAUGACUCGGUCGGGCCUGUGGGUCGGACUCGGUUCUGGGCAUUGUACCAUCCUCGCUCGCUUCCGAUAUGUUCCCCGCCUCCCCCUCGGGGGAGGGCCCCUCCAAGACCGUCCGUGGGGUGACGGUCACCUUUUUGAAAUCUGACCUCAAAUCAGGUAGGACUACCCGCUGAACUUAA
rnacentral:misc_RNA from 1 species